UAAAUAUAGUUUAUUAAAACGCUA
rnacentral:tRNA from 1 species